GAUGAACGCUGGCGGCGUGCCUAAUACAUGCAAGUCGAGCGAACAGACGAGGAGCUUGCUCCUCUGACGUUAGCGGCGGACGGGUGAGUAACACGUGGAUAACCUACCUAUAAGACUAGGAUAACUUCGGGAAACCGGAACUAAUACCGGAUAAUAUAUUGAACCGCAUGGUUCAAUAGUGAAAGACGGUUUUGCUGUCACUUAUAGAUGGAUCCGCGCCGCAUUAGCUAGUUGGUAAGGUAACGGCUUACCAAGGCAACGAUGCGUAGCCGACCUGAGAGGGUGAUCGGCCACACUGGAACUGAGACACGGUCCAGACUCCUACGGGAGGCAGCAGUAGGGAAUCUUCCGCAAUGGGCGAAAGCCUGACGGAGCAACGCCGCGUGAGUGAUGAAGGUCUUCGGAUCGUAAAACUCUGUUAUUAGGGAAGAACAAAUGUGUAAGUAACUAUGCACGUCUUGACGGUACCUAAUCAGAAAGCCACGGCUAACUACGUG
rnacentral:rRNA from 1 species